rnacentral:rRNA from 1 species
AUUGAACGCUGGCGGCAGGCCUAACACAUGCAAGUCGAGCGAGCGGCGGACGGGUGAGUAAUGUAUGGGGAUCUGCCUGAUAGAGGGGGAUAACUACUGGAAACGGUGGCUAAUACCGCAUACCAUCGGAUGAGCCCAGAUGGGAUUAGCUAGUAGGUGGGGUAAUGGCUCACCUAGGCGACGAUCCCUAGCUGGUCUGAGAGGAUGAUCAGCCACACUUGAACUGAGACACGGCCCAGACUCCUACGGGAGGCAGCAGUGGGGAAUAUUGCACAAUGGGCGCAAGCCUGAUGCAGCCAUGCCGCGUGUGUGAAGAAGGCCUUAGGGUUGUAAAGUACUUUCAGCGGGGAGGCGUUACCCGCAGAAGAAGCACCGGCUAACUCCGUGCCAGCAGCCGCGGUAAUAC